CAGAGUUCAUGCCCUUACGGGUAGAUCUCCCACCCUGUGUUAUUAUCACUUUGUUGCUUUGGCGGGCCGUCAGGCUCACGCCCGACCACCGGCCCCGGCUGGUGAGCGCCCGCCAGAGGACCCAAAACUCUGAAUUUAAAGUAUUGUCUGAGUACUAUAUAAUAGUUA
rnacentral:misc_RNA from 1 species